rnacentral:lncRNA from 1 species
CAAUUAGUAUUUCAUUUUUCUAACUUUUUCAUAACUAGCGUACAACAGUUUUUGUGACAUAAGCCAGCCUCUUUAGGUUAGGUGGAUAGUGACUGCUACCUACGUUACGUUCUCAUGACAAAAUUAUUGGUGACUAGGAGGAUAUGUUUAUAACAACAAUGAUGAUAUUUGUGUGGAUGAAUCAACGUUACAUGAUGUAAUAUACCACAUUAGUAUUAGUACAAUAAUAAUCUCCAUGGAGACAAAACAUGUGGCAUAAUUGAUGGUUUGAAUUUGAAAGCCGAUUUUAGUAUAGUUAUCAGUUUCGUUUCGUUUCGUUGAUGUAUGCGUAACUUCGAAGAAGCUACCAUCGCUCCAAAUCCAAUUUCUAAUAUGUCGACUCGACGGGUCAAAUUCAUUUUCAACUAGAGCUAGUACCAUUCAUAUGACCUUAAUUUCCAAGCUAUGAUGACGGUCACAGAACCUAUUUUAUUUUAGAGUUAACAUAUACUAUUAUCAAAUAAAAGUUGAAUUAUUUCUUUUUCUUUUUUUGGUCAAGUAGUCUAGUGGUUAGAAUUCACCUUUUUCAAGGUGAAUAAGUGGGGUGUCCGGGAUUCGAACCCUGACCUCUGCAUAUAACAUUGCAUGUCCCUGCCAACUGAGCUAUGCUCACGGGAACAAAGUUGAAUUAUUUCUUUAAAUAACUGAUAAUAUAUUUAUUUUUUAGGCUUAAAUAUGGAAAUGGUCCCUGUAAAUAUCUGGCAUUUUGGAUUUAGUCCCUAUAAAAAUAUUUUUUGGUUUUAGUCCCUGCAAAUAUAGAAUAUUUGGUUUUGGUCCUUGGUAUUUUGUUUUAAUCCUUAUAAAAUCAUUUUAUAUUGAAAUUGGUCACUAUAAUAUUCAUUUUAAUCCUCAUUUUAAAGGAUUAAAAUCAAAUAUUCUACAUAUUACAAAGACCAAAUCCAAUAUGAAUCAAUUUUACAAAGACAAAAAGAGUAUAUUUAAUUGACUUGGCCGGUUUGUUGGAAGUUGAUAUGUAGGAUUAAACUACAAACACGACAAAGAAACCAUUGUCAAAAGCAUUGGCAUUUCGUGUCUGCAUUUUCUAAUUUUAUUACGGCUAGUGGAUACAGGAAACUUCCUCCAACAAUGCAAUGUUGUCUUGUCAUGAGAAGGGAUUUGCAUAUAUCCACAUUUUCUAUUGGGAUAUUUUUUGUAUUGGACGACUUCGGAUAUUUCUUGGAAGUUUCGGUAUGGGUCCAAAAAAAUAGAUUAAAAGGCAAUGAAUUGCUCAUCAUUCUAUGCCAUCAUCAAUCCAUGUAAGAAAAGCAACCGUGGUACCUUUUCUUCUAAUCUUCUUCUAGAGAAGACUAACUAUUAUUAUUCUCCCGCGUCGUGCGAAAAUCCUAAUGCCAUUGCCAACAAAUUCUCGGAAAUACAAGUCAAUGAAUACUUUAUAUAAUUAUACAAAGUAAUCAAGAUAGUCAAUGAAUUAUUAUUCUCUUUUAUUUUUAAAGAUAAUGAUGAACUAAAGUCUAAAUUGAUGAAUUAAUGAUAGUUUAUGGACUAUUUAUUUAGUAUAAUUUUAUUGUUUAUUGACCAAAUUGUUGGUUUAUUCGAUAAAUAAUGAAGUGUGCAGAUAAAAUGGAUUAGGUCAUUUAUUUAUACGAAGUUAAGUUGAUUAAUGAUGGUUGUGAAGGCUUUUAACCUUAAUAUAUAUUUAUUGGUUUUGGCAGGAGUAUGAAAUAUAAAGGACAAAGUGCAGUGAAAUACAAGUCAUCGAUUCGGAAGGAGAUUGAAGAGGAAGGGUAUAGAAUAUGGGGAAAUGUAGGAGACCAGUGGACUGAUCUCCAAGGGGAGUGUUUGGGCAAUCGUACUUUCAAGAUCCCCAAUCCUAUGUACUGCAUUUCUUGAUUCACGAAUGCCACUUGUGUAGUACUCAACAAACUAAAUGAUUUGCUUUGAACAAAUGAUCUAAUUUCAUCUCUUGUCUUAUUAAUAUCAUUAUUCACGCUAGCGAAAAGACACAGACAUUUACGUGUUCGACUUUCCGCUCUUUUUAUUUCGUUAACGUUUGAAAAUUUAUUAGAUUAUAGGGAUGGUAAUGGGUACCCAAUGGGUAGGGUAUUAUAGUAUCCAUCUCCAUACCCGCGUUUGUAAAAAAAUAUCCGUACCCGAACCCGUACCCUCGUGGGCAACAACUUUAGUGUCCUUCCCCAUACCCUAUGGGCACCUAAGUGCUCAUACCCGCACCCAUUACCCGCAUUUUAACUAUGAAAAGACAAAAAAAAAAAACCACAAUUGAAAUAAAACUAUGAUCCAAAAAAUUUCAAAUCAACUUAUAAAAUAAUAUGAAUCGUAGUAUUUAGCCAAAUAAAAAAUAAUAUGUAUCGUAGUAUUUUGCAGGUACCCAUCGGACUUGGAUCCAAUUGUCAUCCCUUUAGAAGUAUAAGAUUAAACACGGUAAAAAAUAUUUAUUAAUAUUUACUUUUGCGGUUAGUUUGUUUUGGAUUUGAAACAAUUUACUACGAUCUCUUUUUAAAAAUAGCUUACUCAAAACGCUUAUUUUAUGCAAAACACCUUAUUUUUAAAAAUAGCUUAUUCAAAACAGCUUAUUUUAUGAAAAUACCUUAUUUUAAAAAUAAAAUAAAAAAGCUUAUUCAAAACAUCUUAUUUUAGAAAACAACUUAUUUUAUGAAAAAACAACUUAUUUUUGAAAACAACUUCUUUUAUGAAAAACAUGUUUGAAUAAGUUGUUUUUUGAAAAUAAGCUGUUUUGAAUAAGCGGUUUUUAAAAUAAGGUGUUUUUCAUAAAAUAAGUUGUUUUUUUAAAAGGGUUAAUAGUGUUUUCCACCCCUGUAAUAUAUGUCAUUUUUUGUUUUCGCCCCUAUAAAAUUUUCGGUUUGAUUUGCACCCUCGUAAAAAAUUUAUUUUCCGGAAAACACCCUUAAUAGGCCAUUCAAAAACCAAAAAUUGUUGGUGAAAUUACAUGUUCAUAUAUGCAAAAAUGAUAAGUUAUGAAGAUUGUGCUAAANGAUCAAUCAAGGAAUGUGCCCUGCAAAUCCUGUGGUACUAAGAUUGUUUAAAACGUUGAUAGAGAAAGGAUUCAAAGUGUUCUUAGUAACGGGUAGAUACGAAGGAACACUUGCCAAAAUCACUACGGACAAUUUGCAUAACCAAGGAUUCAUCGGCUACCAACGCCUUAUUUUAAGGUAACUAACAAUUAGUAUUUCAUUUUUCUAACUUUUUCAUAACUAGCGUACAACAGUUUUUGUGACAUAAGCCAGCCUCUUUAGGUUAGGUGGAUAGUGACUGCUACCUACGUUACGUUCUCAUGACAAAAUUAUUGGUGACUAGGAGGAUAUGUUUAUAACAACAAUGAUGAUAUUUGUGUGGAUGAAUCAACGUUACAUGAUGUAAUAUACCACAUUAGUAUUAGUACAAUAAUAAUCUCCAUGGAGACAACAUGUGGCGUAAUUGAUGGUUUGAAUUUGAAAGCCAGUUUUAGUAUAGUUAUUUGUUUCGUUUCAUUGAUGUAUACGUAACUUCGUAGAAGCUAUCGCCGCUCUAAUUCCAAUGUCUAAUAUGUCGAUUCGACAGGUCAAAUUCAUUUUCAACUAUAGCUAGUACCAUUCAUAUGACCUUAAUUUCCAAGCUAUGAUGAUGGUCACAGAACCUAUUUUAUUUUAGAGUUAACAUAUAUUAUUAUCAAAUAAAAGUUGAAUUAUUUCUUUUUCUUUUUUUUUGUCAGGUAGUCUAGUGGUUAGUAUUCACCUUUUUCAAGGUGAAUAAGUGAGGUGUCCGUGAUUCGAACCCUGAC